rnacentral:rRNA from 1 species
AUGGCUCAGGAUGAACGCUAGCGGCAGGCUUAACACAUGCAAGGUCGAGGGGCAACGCGAGUAGCAAUACUUGGCGGCGACCGGCGCAAGGGUGCGUAACGCGUGAGCAACAUGCCCGUAUCAGGGGGAUAAUCCAGGGAAACUUGGUCUAAUACCCCAUAGUAAUUUUGUAAGGCAUCUUAUAAGAUUUAAAGCUUUGGUGGAUACGGAUUGGCUCGCGUGACAUUAGCUGGAUGGUAAGGUAACGGCUUACCAUGGCUAUGAUGUCUAGGGGUUCUGAGAGGAAGGUCCCCCACACUGGAACUGAGACACGGUCCAGACUCCUACGGGAGGCAGCAGUGAGGAAUAUUGGACAAUGGAUGGAAAUCUGAUCCAGCCAUGCCGCGUGAAGGAAGAAGGUCCUAUGGAUUGUAAACUUCUUUUGUAUGGGAGCAAUAAGGCCUACGAGUAGGUUGAUGAGAGUACCAUACGAAUAAGCACCGGCUAACUCCGUGCCAGCCGCCGC